GUGCGGGUGCUUGUUAGAGAACAAGGGUACUGAGCGUGACCAAGACAAGAAGUCACUUGGAUGUCUAUCCACUCGUCAGUGACUUGCUUGAUGUUACAGUAGUGUGACUGGUCCUUUGACCUGCGAUGCUUCGGCUACUCACAGUGAGGUUAUUUUAGUUUGACUGCACACAUACAUGGUCUCUAGCCAUAUGGGUCCAUGC
rnacentral:lncRNA from 1 species